rnacentral:sRNA from 1 species
GAAUGCAAGGGUGACCUAGCUGUGACCCUCUACCCCAUUGAUUGCCCAAGCCCAUUAGACUGAUGUGGUGGCCUGGUGUCUUCUUUCUCUCUCACCUCAGCAUGUGAGAGGCUUCAAGUUGCCAGCUCAGACGACAGGAAUGACCUUCCUGAGAAAGAAGGACUUGUCCUAGCUAGGCCCAGGCAGUGCGAACACUGCUCAGUGAAGCCCCAAGAUGGGGCUUUGCCUG